rnacentral:lncRNA from 1 species
GAAGUUUGAGCCUCACCAGGGGGAAGUCAGAUGGGGAAAAAUUUGGGUGCAUGGCAGCUGUCCAGAGAAGGGAAAGCCACUGCACUUCCCUGAGCCAGUCUCUCCUGACUCCCCGCUUCCUCUCCAAACAUGCUUCCACAGCUUGAAGUAGUGGCCCUUAUAGUGGAACCAAGGUUUGCAGGACCAGGAGAGUGUGGCAUCUGGUCCCAUCUGUUUUUUUUUUUUUUUUUUGUCUCUGUGUGUGUUGAACCCCAGUAGGGUUUAAACUCAGGACUACUCUAUCACUGAGCUACAUUCCAGUCCUCUUAAUUUAUUUUUAAAAAUUAUUUUACUAUUUUGAGACAGGGUCUGGCUAAGUUGCUGAGGCUUCUUUGAACUUGAGAACCUCAGCCUCUCAAGCAGCUGGAAUUACAGGCAUGGGCCACCAUGCUUGGCUGGCUGGUGCUCUUUAGAAGUUCUUCAUCUGCCUUGUUUUCAGCUGUGGGCCUGCCAAGUGUGCUUUGGUCGAAAAGUCCUAUUUGACAGGGUGUAGUGGCCCACACCCGGCAACUAGGGCAACUGAGACAUGAGGAUCUCAAGUUUAGGGACAGCGUGGGCAACUUGGUUAGUGGAGGAUCUGUCUCAAAACAAAAAAUAAAAAGGGCUGGAGAUGGGCUGGGUUGUGGCUCAGCGGUAGAGCGCUUGCCUAGCACGUGUGAGGCCCUGGGUUCGAUCCUCAGCACCACAUAGAAAUAAAUUAAAAAAUAAAGGUAUUGUGUCCAACUACAACUAAAAAAAAUAAAUUAAAAAAAGAAAGGGCUGGGAUGAAGUUUGAUUAUAGAGUGCCCUGGGUUCAGUCCCAGGUACUGAAAAGAAAGGCCCUCUUUGAUGUUUUCUUUACUCUACCUCAUUUUUGAUAAUGGAAAGAUCCUGCUCAAUGACUUUCCAUGUCUCUAUUUUGAAUGAGAUAAAUUCCAAACUCCUGUCCUGGCAUUCAAGGCCCUCCACAAACUAGCUCCAACUUAGCCUUCCAGCUUUCUCUCUUACCACUCUUAGCACAGAUUUUCUUUCCUUCCAGACUGGCCUGCAUGCUCACUGCCCCACAAAUGGCCUCGCUCAGUUUUUGUUGGGGGGCUUCACUCAUCCAUCACCAUUUGGAAGGCCCUUUCUCUCUUCUGGCCCAUGCGGUUCUUUCCCAUUAUUGCCUCCUCAUCUUUCCUCCCUGGUUCCCAGCCUUCCUUCCUGGCAGCAUCCUGCUGUCUAGUUCAAGCCCAUUGGACAUGUAUCCUUCUGCCUCCAGUGGUUGGGGGCCUCCUCACAUGUUUUUGUCUCCUAUGCUGGGAGCAGGGUCAGUUGCCAAAUGACUGGCCGAUUGAUUGAUUGGAGACAGCUUGGUUGGAGCCACGCCCA